rnacentral:tRNA from 1 species
GAUCUGGUACUUUAAAAUAAAAGAAUUGAUUUGCAUUCAGAAAAUGGGCUUUAUAUCCCUCAGGUCA